ensembl:lncRNA
GAGAGAAGGCAAGAUGAUGAUGAUGUAUUCUCACCUGAUGGACCCUGCUGAGACAGUGAUUUUGGCCACGAGGGAGACAUUGCAGAGCUCUUCCUCAUGAAUGUGAAAUUGGGCUGCUGUUUGUGGGUCCAGGUGGAUGUUAAGGUGCCCACAGCAUCUGUCUUUGUGGCCAAAACAUUGCUGUGAAUUUUCUCAGGUUUUGCUGUACUGCUGUAAUUUCGCCAUUGCUGGACAGAGGUUCACUGCACAGUCUACACCUUCUCCAGAAGAGUCAGGAUCAGUCAGGCUCCACCAAACGCUACUUCAGCCACAUGUUGAAGCAGGCCCCUGUUUGGAGCCAGCAUCCUGCAGCUGCUGGCCUCAGCUUCCUCUCUGAACAUACCCACCAGUUAGCAGAAAGCCGAAGGUGCUGGGAGGCUAAGGAGUGAAGCAAGUGAGCAACCAGUCUUAAUGACAGAGAUAUUGCGUCAGACGUCUUUUGAGGGAGUUGAUUCAGUUAUACAAAUCUAAGAUGCUACUAGUCACUUGACACUUCUCUGGCCUUUAUACAUAAAAUGGGACUCAGAGCAGGGAAAUUACUGGCUUGCAUGAGCACACAUCAGCAACCCAUUUCCUCUGCUAGCUGGAAAGCACUACAAGAUGGUCCUCCUAAAGUGUGAGCUGAAGUGAAAGUGGCUCAGCGGCAGGCUGCCAUUGCUUCCUUCUUCUAGGUGAGUGUGAUUUGUGGUGGCUUUCCACCAAAAUACUUUGUGCAGAGCGGUGAACGGGGGAUGAAGAAGAAACAGAGCACUGCAAAAAGAUGUCCAAAGUGAUAACUCAUUACCCCAGAGAGCACCACAGCUGAGCCCUGUUUGUACCCUGGUGUUCAGGAGCUUGUGAGGGAAGGUGAGAGCUGAUUAACCUUUUAUUUCUUUUUUAAUAUUAAAUGUUAUCUAGAAGAGCUGCAGAUACUGUUCUGAAACAUCCAAAUUCCAGAUCUUUGUUUAAAACUUGUUUGCAUGCCUUACCUCCUUAGCAGCUGAUGACUCUCAAUAGGUCACAGAAAUCAUCUGCUACGGUGAUGCUCAGCCUGUGCCUCUAAUGCCUCCAGUGUGUCUCACACAGCCUGGCAGUAGUGUCCUCACAUCUGCUGCUAGCGAGGCAAGCAGAGCUGAUUGCAUAGGCUGCAGGGAAGAGCGAUGCCAAGCUGAGGAGUCACGCUCGCCUCCUUAUGCUCAGGCCAAGAAGGAAGAGAAACACGCUCCUUCCCUUCAGGCAGCUGGAAACAAAAAGAAACCACAGAGGACCACAAAAUCAUCACAGAGCAACAUCUGCCAAGGCUAUACGCCGCCUCUAGCAGGUCAGGACACAAGCAGAUGAAGAUAACGCUGUGUGGCAACUUCGUGUCAGUUGUUCUGUGGUUUGCUUUCACAUGCGAGGAAUUAGAUGGAAGCCAAUGCAUGAUCAGAGCUGACAGAAUAAUAUUUUAAAGGGCAAAAAAACCCACAGAGCAUCACACAGACAUGCCUCUCCUCGUGCUGCUCCCACCCCUCAUAUUGCUCUCCCUCCAUCAGAGAGGCAUGGGAGCCUGAAAGUGACCUUUAUGCAGCUGAGGCAGCUAUUCCCAUCAAGCAAAGCUUUGUAAUAGAGAGAGCUUGGGAAACAUUUUCUUAGGUUAUGAACUUUGAGGGCCUUUAUUUCUAUUUAGAGUCUUAUUUUGAAUAUCUAAAUAUAUUCCUGAAUUC